GAAGCAUGACCGUAAGGACAUGUGGACAGUAUGGGAGUGAGAAUGUUGGCAUGAGUAGCGAGAUGUGGGUGAGAAUCCCACAGGCCGUAAACCCAAGGUUUCCAGGGGAAGGUUCGUCCGCCCUGGGGUAGUCGGGACCUAAGCUGAGGCCGAAAGGCGUAGGUGAUGGACAACAGGUUGAUAUUCCUGUACUACCGAUAACCGUUUGAGAGAAGGGAUGACACAGUAGGAUAAGCUAAGCACACUGUUGGUUAUGUGUGCCCAAGCAUUGAGGCAGUCAAAGUAGGCAAAUCCGCUUUGAUAAUGCUGGGAUGUGAUGGGGAGCGAAAUUUAGUAGCGAA
rnacentral:rRNA from 1 species